rnacentral:lncRNA from 1 species
CGACUCCGACAUACAUUUACAAGUCUCCACCACCUCCUACUCCGACUUAUGUCUACAAGUCACCACCUCCACCAACCCCUACAUAUGUCUAUAAGUCACCACCUCCACCCACUCCGACCUACGUCUACAAGUCACCACCACCUCCAACUCACACUCCUACACCAUACUACUACCAUUCUCCACCACCACCAGUAAAAUCCCCUCCACCUCCUUAUUACUACCACUCACCACCACCACCGGUUAAAUCUCCACCACCACCAUACUACUAUCAUUCACCACCUCCUCUGGUGAAGUCUCCUCCACCACCAUACUAUUACCAUUCACCACCACCUCCAGUAAAAUCUCCUCCCCCCCCAUACUACUAUCACUCCCCACCUCCUCCAGUGAAGUCUCCUCCGCCACCUUACUAUUAUCACUCCCCACCUCCUCCAGUAAAAUCACCACCACCACCAUAUUAUUACCACUCUCCACCUCCUCCCGUGAAAUCCCCCCCACCUCCAUACUACUACCACUCACCACCCCCUCCGGUAAAAUCACCCCCACCACCAUAUUACUAUCACUCCCCACCUCCACCAGUGAAAUCCCCACCACCACCGUACUACUACCAUUCUCCACCCCCACCGGUAAAAUCUCCGCCACCACCAUACUAUUACCACUCCCCACCUCCUCCGGUGAAAUCUCUACCACCACCGUACUAUUACCAUUCACCACCUCCUCCGGUGAAAUCUCCUCCUCCACCAUACUACUAUCACUCACCUCCUCCACCAGUAAAAUCUCCUCCGCCACCGUACUAUUACCACUCUCCACCUCCUCCAGUGAAGUCGCCUCCACCUCCUUAUUACUACCACUCACCUCCUCCUCCGGUGAAAUCCCCACCACCACCAUAUUAUUACCACUCACCACCCCCACCCGUCAAAUCUCCUCCACCUCCAUAUUAUUACCACUCACCACCUCCUCCGGUGAAAUCUCCACCACCACCAUAUUAUUACCACUCACCUCCUCCUCCGGUGAAAUCUCCACCACCACCAUAUUACUACCAUUCACCUCCCCCUCCAGUCAAAUCUCCACCACCACCAUAUUACUACCAUUCACCUCCCCCUCCAGUGAAAUCCCCACCACCACCAUAUUACUACCAUUCACCACCUCCUCCAGUGAAAUCUCCACCACCACCAUACUACUACAACUCUCCACCACCACCAGUAAAAUCUCCCCCACCUCCCGUCUACAUCUACGCUUCUCCCCCACCUCCUACCCAUUACUAGGCUCGUCAAAUUCAACCAAGUUUCCCCAUUAUUCAAGUAAGUCCCAAGGCUCCAAUAUUCUAAGUAUGCUCCAUAUC